rnacentral:rRNA from 1 species
UACAGAGGUCUCAAGCGUUGUUCGGAUUCAUUGGGCGUAAAGGGUGCGUAGGCGGCUCGGUAAGUCGGGUGUGAAAUCUCGGAGCUUAACUCCGAAAUUGCAUUCGAUACUGCCGUGCUUGAGGACUGGAGAGGAGACUGGAAUUCAUGGUGUAGCAGUGAAAUGCGUAGAGAUCAUGAGGAAGACCAGUGGCGAAGGCGGGUCUCUGGACAGUUCCUGACACUGAGGCACGAAGGCCAGGGGAGCAAACGGG